rnacentral:tRNA from 1 species
GGAGAGGUGCUCGAGUGGUUGAAGAGGCACGCCUGGAAAGCGUGUAUACCUCUAAAGGGUAUCCGGGGUUCGAAUCCCCGUCUCUCCGCGA